rnacentral:rRNA from 1 species
UACGGAGGAUCCGAGCGUUAUCCGGAUUUAUUGGGUUUAAAGGGAGCGUAGAUGGAUGUUUAAGUCAGUUGUGAAAGUUUGCGGCUCAACCGUAAAAUUGCAGUUGAUACUGGAUAUCUUGAGUGCAGUUGAGGCAGGCGGAAUUCGUGGUGUAGCGGUGAAAUGCUUAGAUAUCACGAAGAACUCCGAUUGCGAAGGCAGCCUGCUAAGCUGCAACUGACAUUGAGGCUCGAAAGUGUGGGUAUCAAACA